UACGUAGGGUGCGAGCGUUAAUCGGAAUUACUGGGCGUAAAAGCGUGCGCAGGCGGUGAUGUAAGACAGGUGUGAAAUCCCCGGGCUUAACCUGGGAACUGCAUUUGUGACUGCAUUGCUGGAGUGCGGCAGAGGGGGAUGGAAUUCCGCGUGUAGCAGUGAAAUGCGUAGAUAUGCGGAGGAACACCGAUGGCGAAGGCAAUCCCCUGGGCCGAUACUGACGCUGAGGUGCGAAAGCGUGGGGAGCAAACAGGAUUGAGAAAC
rnacentral:rRNA from 1 species